rnacentral:rRNA from 1 species
UACGUAGGGGGCAAGCGUUGUCCGGAAUCAUUGGGCGUAAAGCGCGUGUAGGCGGUUACGUAAGUCUGCUGUGAAAGUCGGAGGCUCAACCUUCGAAAGCCGGUGGAUACUGCGUGACUAGAGUACGGAAGAGGAGAGUGGAAUUCCUGGUGUAGCGGUGAAAUGCGCAGAGUAUCAGGAGGAACACCAACGGCGAAGGCAGCUCUCUGGGACGUUACUGACGCUGAGACGCGAAAGCGUGGGGAGCAAACAGG